GAUGAACGCUGGCGGCGUGCCUAAUACAUGCAAGUCGAGCGAACAGACGAGGAGCUUGCUCCUCUGACGUUAGCGGCGGACGGGUGAGUAACACGUGUAUAACCUACCUAUAAGACUGGGAUAACUUCGGGAAACCGGAGCUAAUACCGGAUAAUAUAUUGAACCGCAUGGUUCAAUAGUGAAAGACGGUUUUGCUGUCACUUAUAGAUGGAUCCGCGCCGCAUUAGCUAGUUGGUAAGGUAACGGCUUACCAAGGCAACGAUGCGUAGCCGACCUGAGAGGGUGAUCGGCCACACUGGAACUGAGACACGGUCCAGACUCCUACGGGAGGCAGCAGUAGGGAAUCUUCCGCAAUGGGCGAAAGCCUGACGGAGCAACGCCGCGUGAGUGAUGAAGGUCUUCGGAUCUUAAAACUCUGUUAUUAGGGAAGAACAAAUGUGUAAGUAACUAUGCACGUCUUGACGGUACCUAAUCAGAAAGCCACGGCUAACUACGUG
rnacentral:rRNA from 1 species